AACCCAACUCUACCCACAAACCUGACUCAGAAUCCUUUCUCUCCAUUUCUCUACCCUUCUCCCUAAAACCCAACUCUGAAAAUCAAUCCCAAAUGCCAUUUUCUUCUCCUCUCUCUUCUCUAAAACCUUUCCCUAAAACCUUCUCUUCUCGCCUCCCUUGGAAACCAAAUUUAAUCAUCAAUCUGUAUCUACAAUAUUCCUUCCCAACGCAAACCCUAUACCUAAGGCAGCCAACGUGCUAGGCCUAUGCAGGAGUUUUCUUGGCCUCCACUCUCAACCUCUUUUCUCCAUGGACGGAUUCAGCCACAGAGCCGAUUAGGAUAAAUAAUUCCCCCUCUGUCAUUCUCUUUCCUAUUUGAUUGAUCUGCUUCUCAAGAAAUUCUUUCUCUAUAUAUGAAUUUCUCUAAAUCUUAUUUUUUGAGUUUCGGUUUCAGGUAAUGAUGAUGAUGCAAAUUACUCAAUCCCAACGCCAAGUGAAUCCUAGCAGAGGUGUGGUUGCCAUUUCAGUUGUCAUCGUUGGCAUCACCAGGUGGUUGCUGAGGAGCUUUUGUAUACAGAGAACUGAUUGUGUGCGAAGGGGGAAUUACUCAUUAAGAUUGUGCAGGCCAUAAGGGUACAAUUAGACCCGGUGAUGUGCAAGUAAGACAUAUCAGUUGCUAAAGAAUCGGGAUCCUUUUCUGAUGUUGGACUAUUUUUCAUGUUUUGAGACUAUCACAUACAUGUUGCAGGAGGCAUUACUAAUUAAGAUUGUGCAAGCCAUAAGUGUCCAAUUGGACUCGAUGAUGUGCAAUGGAUGAGGACAGGUAGAGGAAUCAUCCAACCCUAAAAUGCCUGCAAGAAGAAAAAAUCAAAAGGAUUACAGCUUUGGGUCAAUUUAUCCUCCAAGGACAAAAUGUCAGAAUUCUUCUUUUUGUUGAAGGGGAUCUUAAAAGUAGAAGUUCUCAAAUCAAUGAUUCCAUCAAAAGUUCAUUCUCUUGGGCAUAUAAGUUGCACUUUUGGGAGAUCUAGGGUACCAUGGAAAAGAAAGAACACUGACAGGGGCUUGAAAACAACUUUAUGUUGCUCUUUGGGACCAUGAUUUAACUUUGCCUUUAGGUUAAAAAUGAGAUUACGUCAUACAAAGAUACAAUUGUACACAGUAAUGAGGAUUUCCAACCAUGAGAAGUGGAAGCAUAUA